rnacentral:lncRNA from 1 species
UGGAGAUAGUGCUAAUCUUGAUGCUAGAUAGGUGCAAGGAGCAUACCAUAUGCAUAGAAAUCAAAUUGGACACACCUAAUGGAACUCUUAGAUGACAUGUGUCAUAUGGAAUCUUCCUUCGGUCCGUUUGUAGACAUUGUAAGUUUUAGUGCAAGAUAGGUGCACAGUUUGCGCCUAAUGCACCGUAGUCUAAGAAACCAUUUCAGACGCACUAUUUGGUACAACUGGGUGAAGAGGCUCAAGUGGAAGAUUGGUUCGGUCAGUUCGGAGAUAGUGCUAAUCAUUAUGCAAGGUUGGUGCAUGGUUUGCAUGGAACAUACCAUAUGCUUGGAAAUCAAUUUGGAUGAACCC